rnacentral:pre_miRNA from 11 species
GUCAAGAUUCAAGCUCCUCAUUUAUUUGUAUUUGCACCUGCACCUUACCUACUUUUCUUUUUAGUGCCAAUGUUCACUUCAUCAUCAUCCUAGAAAACCCUAGAAACUCAAAUUAAGGAGAGGUGUAGAUGCAAGUGCAGACAAAUGGCAUCUUGAU